GUCACUCUUAAUUUGAUAUUAUCUUCUAAAAUAAAAAUUGUUUCCCUAAUUAAACUAUGGAAAUAUCUCCUUAUUACUUUUCAAAAUCUUGCGAUGUAAGUCAACAUUAAUUCAAUACUAGAUUUUUAUCCGCGCUUUAGCGCGGGAUAAUUUUUUUGGUAAAUUUUCUAUAUAAUCUCAUUUUCUCUUCAUUUAAAAUAGGUCUGGACAUAAAAUCUACAACCCAAAGUCCAACCAAACUCAAACCAAAAAAACGUGAUCACUACCCAAUCCAAAAUAUAAGAAAUACCAAAAUAGGUCUUAUAGUGUGGUACAUCAAAUAUUUGAACCCGAAGUAUUAUUAGCCGAACCCGAACGAAAAAAACAAAAAACCAAAAAAAAUCCAAAAACCGACCAAAAUUCUAAAUCAAUUGCAAAUAUAAAUAUAUGAAACAUAAAUAUUUACUUCAAACAUUCAAUUCUAUAUUUAUUUUUAAAUUAUAUAUAUAUAAGUAUUUAAAUCUUCAAUGAGUACCUUAAAUAUCCAAUCCUAUUUCUUAUGUUUUGCUUUUCAGUUUUGGAUUUAACUUCGGAUAUAUCCGAACCCAUAUAACCUAAAUCGGAACAAUAUAUUGUUGCUUUAUGGAUUUUAGAUGUGAUACAAUUUAGAAGUUAAACCUAUGUGCU
rnacentral:lncRNA from 1 species